UACGUAGGGGGCGAGCGUUGUCCGGAUUUACUGGGCGUAAAGCGUGCGUAGGCGGAAGUUUAAGCGGUGCCUGAAAGCCCCCGGCUCAACCGGGGAGAGUGGUGCCGAACUGGGCUUCUUGAGGGCGAUAGAGGAGAGUGGAAUUCCGGGUGUAGCGGUGAAAUGCGUAGAUAUCCGGAGGAACACCAGUGGCGCAGGCGGCUCUCUGGGUCGACCCUGACGCUGAGGCACGAAAGCGUGGGGAGCGAACGGG
rnacentral:rRNA from 1 species